rnacentral:lncRNA from 1 species
GACGGCCAGAAGUCCAGGGCUAGGAGCCUCAGCCGGCGGACGCCAGGAAACAGGAAAGUAUUUUAUCAGAAGAAUUCGUAGAAGUAGAAUCUGUUUGUCUUCAGUUAAACAAAAGAAGAACCUCAUUGCUUUCCAACUGGGCCCCGGCCAUUUUCCAGUUGAAACAUCAAAUAUUUUAUUUGUGUCUUUCACUGCCAAUUAAAGGGCAACAGAAAUGGUACAGGCUCCCUCUGCAGUGGAAUUACCCUUAUGUCUUUUCUGUCUAUGCUGAUCCACCUGAUCUUGAACUGGUGCUAUUCCAUGGGGAAAAUUGGAACAUGGGGCAAUUAACACUUUCUCCACUUUAUCCCAUCAACAGGAAAUUGAAAUAUAACCAACUAACUCAGGAGACAUCAUGGAAGAUGUCACACAGUGAAUGAUGAUGAAGCAGAAUUUUUAAAAUGUGUAGGAUUACGAGAAGUGGGGUCAUUUUUCUUUGUGUAUGGUAUUGCUGAUGCAGUUUAAUGCUCCAUUACUUCUAAAUUUUCAUCAUAAGCUAGAUUUUCCAGUUGUGGUUUCUAUAAAGAAAAACAAACAUUCUGAAGACAGUUUUUCCAGAUUUAUUCCAGAUAUCGAUGAUUAACUUUUGAAG